AUACUUACCUGGCAGUGGCGAAGCCAUGAUCAAGAAGGUGGUUCCCCAGAGUGAGGCUCAGCCAUUGCACUGCGCCUGACUGACCUUUGCAAGUUCCGCAAAUGUGGGAAUCUCGACUGCUUAAUUUAUGGUAGUAGGGGACUGCUUUCGCACUGACCCAUG